UAAGGUCACGGCGAGACGAGCCGUUUAUCAUUACGAUAGGUGUCAAGUGGAAGUGCAGUGAUGUAUGCAGUUGAGGCAUCCUAACAGACCGAGAGAUUUGAAC
rnacentral:rRNA from 1 species